UGGCUCAGAGGUUAAAGCGUCUGCCUCCAAUGCAGGAGAUCCAGGUUUAAUCCCUGG
rnacentral:tRNA from 1 species